AGGAUUUUUGGGUGGGGAAACAGACUCUGUUAUACGCUAUCUUCAGUGCUUCCUUCAGAGGAAAGCAGAACCUCUCCCAAGCUAAGGUGAAGAACAUCUAGCCAGUGUCUUUUUUAUACUGGCACCAGACAGAAGGAGGGAAAGGGAACCGGAGUGUAACAACAACUCAUUUGGACUUGUAUCUAAGAAUAAUCAGAUUCAAUGGAUUGGCUCCCUUAUAGAACAACUGCAUUUCUAUUCAUUUUAAUGGCAUUUUUGGAUGUCAGCGCUGGAUUCCAUGUUGAGGUGAAAGAAUGGAAUGAAAAUAAUGUGACAUGAUGGAAAACCUUCAAAAGACAAAAACGGAAAUGGAUUGAAUUCACUGCAGAUUGCAGAGAAGGAGAAGAUAAUUCAAAAAGGAAUCCAAUUGCCAAAAUUCGAUCCGAUUGUGAAGAAAACCAACCAAUUGUAUACAGCAUCUCCGGAAUAGGGAUUGAUCGGCCACCUUAUGGGAUCUUUGCUAUUAAUAAAAACACUGGAGAAAUUAAUAUAACAUCAAUAGUUGAUCGAGAGGUGACCCAACGUUUGCUAUAACAUGCUAUGCUAAACAUGCAAUUACUAAUAGAGAAGUAGAACCGCCUCUUGUGCUUCGCAUCAGAGUUCUGGAUAUAAAUGACAAUGCUCCAGUAUUUUCACAAGCUGUACAUAUGGGAUCUAUUGAAGAAAGUCGCAUGGAGACUACUCUGGUGAUGAAAUUAAUUACCAUGGAUGCAGAUGAACCAAAUAACUUGAAUUCUAAAAUUGCCUACAAGAUAAUGGGUCAGGAACCUGCAGGUGCAUCAAUGUUUAUUCUAAGUAGAGAUUCUGGAGAAGUUCACAUAGCAAAUUUUCUUGACAGAGAGGUAAAAACUUCAAUAUAUUAAUAUUCAUGAUGGAAAAAGAGAGAGAGAGGUUCAUGAUGGAGAGAGAGAGAGAGAGUAUGAGAGAGAUUAAUAUAUUUAGUUGUUGCAAAGGUGAAACAGAAGAUUGAAAUGAUCUUAUUUUAGAAUAUAGAGGUAUUGUAUGGGCUUUUGCUGUAUUAUAGGAAAUAUUUGUACCUAUAACUAAUUGAUGUAUUUGAAAGGAGCCGCAAGAAAUUACCCAUCAGUAUGUGGUUUUUUAAUGUUUUUGUUUGUAAAUAAUGUGUACAUUGGUCUUUCCAAUUUAGCAAUAUGACAGAUACUCUCUUGUUGUGAGAGCCUCAGACCGCGAUGGAGCUGCAGAUGGAAUCUCUUCCCAGUGUACCUGUUCCAUUGAAGUUAUUGAUGUCAAUGAUAAUUUCCCAACUCUUUUGCAGAAUUCAAUGGUAGGUGCCAUCAAUUUGAUCCCACAGUGGAGGAUCAUCUACCUGGGAGACCUGGACCUGAGCAUGACCUGAUUUGCCACCCUGGGCUUUCCAAACCACUCCGGAGUGCUCGGACCCUCAGAAACACCGAACAAGCUUCACUGCACCCUAUGACAAUCAUUUGUGAAUUCUCCAUUGGUUUCAAAGCCCCUCUUUCUAGCCCUUUGGCCCAGAUGUGGUAGGUAACAAGUGGCCUUACAGCAAAAUGCAAGAAAUCAAUAUUGCACAACAAUGAAUAAGACGUUCACUAGAGAAGUUUUUUUCCUUACUCCCAUCAGUUACUGGUUGGCUUUUCCCUGAGACAUGAAAAUAUAUGUCCUCCUAAAAUAUUUCAAUUGUCUAAUGAAACUGGAAUUUUAAACAUCAAUUUGUAAUCCCUACAAACUCUUGGCUUCAUUACUAUCUUGUGGGUUUCAUGUUAACUUUCUAUUGUGUAUUUCUUUUCAUUAGCUUUAAAUCAAAUGCCUUUCAAGGAAAAUGUGAUUGUUUUUCAUGCUGUUCCCAAUGUCUAACCAUAGUCAAAUUUUUAGAAUUAUCAUAUAGUACAAUGCAUUAAAAGUUUUUUGGGGAUGUUUAUGGAGAGCUCCUUGCAAGAACAGGAGAAAGACCACCACAUGCACUCAUGGGAGAAUCUGGCACAAAGGACAACACUCAUCAGGUGAACGGAGGCAGAUGCAGAUAUCUUAAUAAUGAAUAAGAUUUUUUGGUAGCGUGAGAAAGACCAGAAAGGGUUAAAAGUGAAGACAAGUAAUUUGUGUGUGACUCACUGGAGAAGCAGAGAGAUGAGAAAGGGGGAAGAAGCGGGAAUGGUUGAAAUGCCAAGGAAAAUGAAGUACUGGGGACAGCUUUUGGAUUGCAUACAUGUAUGGCAACAGGACAUGUUUCAAGGCUGGAAAGAAGGAGGAAGUUAUGCAGGAGAGCAGCACAUGCCAGGGGCAACGCUGGGCUAUACUGAAAGGUCGCUCUAGGAGGUUACAAAGGAAACACUGAUCAGGCCCUAGUUUGGAGUGAUUCCUUAACUUCCUUAUCUGGCGCAAAAUUAUGCCAAAAUAUGUAUAAUUUCUCCCGUGCCUCUAUUUUCCAUUAAGUGUCCCCUUUACUCCACUGUUGUUCAACCAAACCACUGCUUACAGUUUUCUUGCUUCUCAUAUUUAAAAAUCUUCCUAUUUGUUUUCAGAUAUUUGGUUAUUUGCUCUUCAGAAUUGCUUUUAGUUCCUCCUUAAUGUACACACUUUUGCCAGCCAAGUUCCUUUGUACUGGUUUGACUAGAAUUUGACUGCCAUUUUCCAAAGGAUCUCUUUUAGGCUUCAAAAAAUUGUACCUUUCUAUUUGGUCAUACUAGUUUCCUUCUUGCUUUGCUACUUCCUGUCUGGAGGUUUACAUGUUUUCUGUGACUCUGGUAUGGUUUGAUUAAUUUCCAAAUACGAAUUGCAAAUUUGUCCAAGCACACACAAAACUGCAUAUUGACAAGAUACAGAAAACUGUCAAUUCACAUUCAACCAUCAAUGUUCUUACUUUUAAAAAGAAUAUACAAUAUU